rnacentral:rRNA from 1 species
UCUUCGGGAAGCCUCCUGCGCGGCGACUAUAANCACGCGCACAGNNAGAACCCUGGGCGACGUCACCCCUGUGCUGGAACCCUUACAUCCCCUUGUAGCGGACCAGCAGCCAGCCCGUCUGGUUCACAGAUUAAGUGGUGGCGGGCCCGACCGACACGGUUGGGGUCAANAGAUAAUCGGUCCCCCGUUGUGGUCCAACGGUGGAGCAGACGUUCCGUAGGUGAACCUGCGGAAGGAUCAUUA